GAUGAACGCUGGCGGCGUGCCUAAUACAUGCAAGUCGAACGCGCAGCGAAAGGUGCUUGCACUAUCACUUAGCGGCGGACGGGUGAGUAAUGCUUAGGAAUCUGCCUAUUAGUGGGGGACAACAUCUCGAAAGGGAUGCUAAUACCGCAUACGUCCUACGGGAGAAAGCAGGGGAUCACUUGUGACCUUGCGCUAAUAGAUGAGCCUAAGUCGGAUUAGCUAGUUGGUGGGGUAAAGGCCUACCAAGGCGACGAUCUGUAGCGGGUCUGAGAGGAUGAUCCGCCACACUGGGACUGAGACACGGCCCAGACUCCUACGGGAGGCAGCAGUGGGGAACAUUGGACAAUGGGGGGAACCCUGAUCCAGCCAUGCCGCGUGUGUGAAGAAGGCCUUAUGGUUGUAAAGCACUUUAAGCGAGGAGGAGGCUCUUUUGGUUAAUACCCAAGAUGAGUGGACGUUACUCGCAGAAUAAGCACCGGCUAACUCUGUGCCAGCAGCCGCAGUAA
rnacentral:rRNA from 1 species